GUGCCAGCCGCCGCGGUAAUACGUAGGGGGCAAGCGUUGUCCGGAAUGACUGGGCGUAAAGGGUACGUAGGCGGUCAUGUAAGUCAGGUGUGAAAUUCUAGGGCUCAACCCUAGAUAGCACUUGAAACUGCGUGACUUGAGUCAAGGAGAGGAAAGUGGAAUUCCUGGUGUAGCGGUGAAAUGCGUAGAUAUCAGGAGGAAUACCAGUGGCGAAGGCGACUUUCUGGCCUUAGACUGACGCUGAGGUACGAAAGCGUGGGGAGCAAACAGGAUUAGAUACCCUGGUAGUCCACGCCGUAAACGAUGAGUGCUAGGUGUCGGGGCGAAAGUUUCGGUGCCGAAGUUAACACAUUAAGCACUCCGCCUGGGGAGUACGGUCGCAAGACUGAAACUCAAAGGAAUUGACGG
rnacentral:rRNA from 1 species